GAGUUGGGAUUGGUUUUAGGGAACGAAGUCAGGUAGAGGAUACACAGGCCUGGCCCAAGCCUGGAGUAUGGGAGAAGUCUGGUUGGGCGGUAAGGUUGGGCAUGGUAUGAAAGUGUCUGGUGGUUGGGUGACAGGCAGGAUAGGCUUUGUCAGAUGUUUAGAGAUUCCAGUGCGGGCAGGGGUUAUCAGACUAGGCUGGAACACUGAAAGUGGUACCCAGGCUCGAUCUGGAAGGUUGGGGAGGGUGCAUAGAGGGUAAGUUCAGGCAGACUCAUGGGACUCAACUCUGGCGAAAGACACGCAGCAUCUGGCUGGGUGGGAAAGUUCUGAACUAAUUUUUAGGCUUUGGCUCCACUUCAACUUGUCCCUAAAUUCUGUCCCAUCACAGGACUACAUAGGAUUGUCUCUGAGACCACUCGUAGUGGAGGAAAUGUGGGUUAACACGCUUCCACUGUUACUCCCUACUCCCACCUGUUUCUCCGUCUUAACUGUUUCCUCAGCCUAUCCCUUCUCAGGACUCAAGUGUACUCCUUGAGACUUUAAGACAGUGCCCAGAAAAAGCUGGGGAUAUGAGUAAACCAACAACACCAAACUCUGCAGAAAGCUCAGCACGACAGCCACUCAUCCUGAACUGGCAGGGCUCCAGGACAGAUCUUGCUGGUGACAGGCUGCCCUUGAGCAGUCUUAAGCAGCAGCUUAGCAGCAUGUGUCCUCAGCAUCCAGCAGCCACUGCUGCAGUUCUCGCUGGCAGAACAACUCGCUCCCCACUUAUCCAGCCAAACACAGGAUGUCAAAGGCAGAGCCCAGGAUGAUUACUUCCUUUCCAGAGGAGGAUUUCCGGGGAGCUGACGCAGAAGAGCACGCUGGAGUGUAGUGCUGGGAAGACGCUGCCGUCUUUUUCUUGGAGAAAGACUGGGUGUCAUGGGGAAUAGGAGGGGUCCCUGGAAGAGCAAUGCAAAGAAACCCCCACAAAGACAUUGACGCGAGAAAUGUGGGUAAAGGCAUGUUGAGUCAGGGCAAUGUCUCCAAACAGCUAACCAUCACCAUCCACAUCGGACGCCCUGCGGCCCUUGGCAAACUACCUGGCCUUCACUGCCCCGGAAGCAGAGUCUCUGGUGCAUCUGAGAAAUCUGCCCCCCAAACAUGUGCCUGAAUAACUCUAAUGCGUCCCCAGCAGCCUAGAGCUCAGGAGUUCAUAGGCUCUGCUUUCCUCAGAAUGACAGUCUGCUCUGGUAGAACAACGAGAAGCAGAACAUCUCAACCUUUCUUGCUUUGCUCUGGACCCUGACUCAGGAAGGCCUGAGCAUGUGUCUUGGAAAUGCCUGGGCCACUUCUCUCUAGUUCUGUUAUUCUAUUCCAAACAUGCUGGCCUGAGAGCUAUGACAUCAGAAGAAAACCUUGCGAGGUAACUUUUGUGUAUUCUGCACACGGCUGUGGUCUGGGAAAGGGGUGACUCACUGUUCCUUACAGGCAAAUCUUCAGUCUCUC
rnacentral:sRNA from 1 species